CAAAGGCUUCUUCAACUUACAAACAAUAAGCAUCUGGCAGCAUGAAAUUCCAUAGAGCUAUUUGACCCCCUCCAUAACCUACAGACGACAGCAGUCAGUGGAAUGAUAUCUCUCCUUUGCAUCAGAUUGAUUGACAGGAAUGUAUUGAAGAGAGUCUGACUGCUUCCUUCCACAGCGACUGUGGAGCCACACUUUGGACUGCUGUCUAAUGAAGAUGAGGCUGAGAAGCACAGAGACUUUGACAGCGGGUGUAAAAAGAGCUGCAGUGUGUGAGUGACUUAACAAUGGCCUUCACAAUAAGCUCAAGCUAAUCACCGCUAUCAUAGCUGAACAAAGGCUCUCUGAACAAAACAAGCUUUGCAUCUCUUGGGUAACACCAAUGUGAUGGCAGAGACUGUAUACUACUUAACACUCAUGUCACCACAUUUCCAGCCCCAUGCUGCACCUCAUUUCAUGCGGAUGGAUUUAUUUUCUGUGUAACUGGGUGUUUUGGUUACAAGAAAAGGAUAACUACUUCAUCCAUAUUUUUCAGCACAGGACAGAGACAAACAGGAUCCCCUCACACCAGCCAAGCCAAAGUGUUGCAAUUUUCACAUGUGGAAAAUUAAACUACAAUGUGGAAAUAGCCUCAUCCUGGCACACAAAUGCACUACUUCAAAGCAGUCGUAAGAUUGUUUUGCACUUUGAGGCAAACAAAAAUACAAUUUGGUUGCACACAGUGUACAAUCUGAUAUCUCCUUGUAAGAUAAGGGAGCCUGAGGACACAAGGUGCAAUUUGCUUCCACUGAAUUAGACCUUUUUAUUAUCCUCCAUGAAAUUGCUAGUUUAUGGGAAUUUAAAUGAUUGAGUGAGACAUGUCCCAGAAUCGAAAGCUAAGAAUAAGGUCUCACGAGGAAAAUCUAUCAACAGAGUGCGAUGGGCUGUGUUGUGUCCCCAACUGUACUGAUCUCUGCUCCUGUUUUUCUCCUCCUCCUUGUCCCUCUUGACUCUGCAGUGCAUUUAGUCUAACUCAAAUUCGUUUCCCUCUCAAACUCCGAGGAUAUGCCGUGUGGCCUAGUUUACUCCUUGAACUGACCUUAUCAUCAUCCUGAAAAGUUUUGCGUGUCUAUAUUUAUAACAUCUGCAGUAAAUCCUGGGAGUCCAAAACAAUUUGUAUAGACUUUACUCACCUUGAUUGAGCAAUUGUCUCUGACUGUGAUUUCAUGGUGUAUAUUUUUGUUCUUGCUUAUUUGCUUUAAAUAUCUAGGGAGUAGAGGACUAAAAUGUUGAAGUCUUGAUUUAAUAUCAGAAGUCCAGUAGGAGCUCUGAUGGGAACUGAAAUAUUGUUCACAAAUUUUGCAUUGAGAUCAAUAAAGAUUGGGUACUACUGCAGCAAA